UUUCAGUUUUCAGAUAUGAACUUCUCUCUUAUUAACUUUUUUCCACUGUUGUUUCCUUAUGUUCCCAUUUUUCUCAUAGCAGCUUUUUUGUUGCUGUUCCUUACCUCUUUUCCCCUUUAAUAUUUCUUUUUUCUGUCUUCCAAAGACUUUCAUACUUUCUUUGAAUUUUGUAUCUUGAAAGUGAUGAGAUAGCAUUCCCAUGGUUUCUACUCUCUCUUUUAUGAGAUAGGUCCAUUAACAAAGAACCUUUUCAUGUAUCCAGGUUGAAGGGGCUCUUGCUAUGCUAGUGAUAUUUCCCCAAAUUUUAAUAGAAGACAAGAUCCCAAACAAGAAGAAUUAAAUUAUUCCCACUAUAGUCCUCCAAAUCCUCUGUAAAUUCUGAUGUCAUUCAUACUAGACCCAGAGUAGCUUAAGUCUUGUAUUUCACUGUCCUUGAUCAUAGUAAGCAUGUGUUACCAUUCAUAUUACCAUGUAUGAUUCCCUACAAUCACACUCAAAAAUUUUCCUGGAUUUUUUUCCUUUACAUCUGUAGUAAACGUUCUGUGUCCUUUUGCAUUUUUUCACACAAUUAUUAAUUCUUUACACUGCAAUAAUUUUUCAAUGUGUGAAGAAGAAUCUUAAGGGAAGAACAUGUAUAAUACAGCUCUCAGUUCAGAAACUUUCAUGUGAAUAAUUUAAGUUAUUGUUCUUUUCUUAAUUUUUUGCUACUGCUGCUGCUAAGUCGCUUCAGUCGUGUCCAACUCUGUGCGACCCCAUAGACGACAGCCCACCAGGCUCCCCCAUCCCUGGAAUUCUCCAGGCAAGAACACUGGAGUGGGUUGCCAUUUCCUUCUCCAACGCAUGAAAGUGAAAAGUGAAAGGGAAGUCGCUCAGUCGCGUCCGAGUCUUAGCGACCCCAUGGACUGCAGCCCACCAGGCUCCUCCAUCCAUGGGAUUUUCCAGGCAAGAGUACUGGAGUGGGGUGCCAUUGCCUUCUCCCUUAAUUUUUUAAUAAAGGACUAAUAAAAUCAUUAAAAGAUUAACAUCCUCCAUUUCAAAUGGUAUUUUCAAUUAUAUUUUCAUUUACAGAUUGGAUAGAAUUUAAGAACACAAAUUAACGUGUGUAGCAGGCUUCAUAUGAUUAUUGCUAUAUAGGACUUCCCUGGUGGCUCAGAUAGUAGAGUCUGCCUACAAUGCAGGAGACCCGGGUUCGAUCCCUGGGUUGGGAAGAUCUUCUGGAGAAGGAAACGGCAACCCACUCCAGUAUUUUUGCCUGGAAAAUCCCAUGGACAGAGAAGCCUGGUAGGCUACAGUCCAUGGGGUCGCAAAGAGUCGGAUACUACUGAGCGACUUCACUAUUCGCUACUAUAAAGUUUCUGAAAGACGCUUACUUUUACUGUAUGGUUUUUCAUUAUGUUUUAAGUUCCUAUCUUAUGAACAUCAAUGUACUUAUCCCUUAUUCUGAAAACCUUGAGGACUGUGAUUGGUAGGGUUUAUCCCCAGGAAGAAUGACUCUACCAUAUAUCAUGGUAUUUCAUUCCGUAUAUUAAUUCCUUUUGCAAAAAUGUCUGGGAAGAAGUAAACAACAUUGAUUUUCAUGUGUUACAUGGCCUUUGGUUCCAAUUUGGCUACCCACUCCAGUAUUCUUCCCUGAAGAAUUCCUUGGACAGAGGAGCCUGGUGAGCUAAAGUCCAUAGACUCACAAAGAGUUGGACACAACUGAGUGACUAACAGUUGCACUUUCACAUAUGUCAAUCUCAGAUCAGAUCAGAUCAGUUGCUCAGUCGUGUCCGACUCUUUGUGACCUCGUGAAUCGCAGCACGCCAGGCCUCCCUGUCCAUCACCAACUCCUGGAGUUCACUCAAACUCACGUCCAUCGGAGAAGUAUGAACAGGAAAAAGGCAAGUCCCAUUUGUGUAUUACUCUUUUUAACUACUCAAGUUUCAUCUGUUUCUUUGACAUUGAUUUUCAUCUCUCAGUGAUUAUCUUUGUUAACUCCAGCGUGCAUAGAACUUUAUGUCAUUUUCUCCCACAUCGUUACUAUUACAACUGAAAUUUGCCAUCUUCCUAUGAUAUUCAAUUUCUUCAGUAAUGUUUUCUUUCAUUUAUUCCGACCUUGCAAUUUGUGCACAUCUUUCCAUUCUGCCAAGGGAGUAUUUGUAAUAAUUUACCUGUAAGUUUUUGCCAUUUUAAAACUUUCUGACCUGAAAGUUUUUUCCAAGGUAGUUUCAGGUCAUUUCAUCUAGAAUCCCCUUUCUUUCCAGUUAAUACUUCCUUUACCCCUUUCUCAUCUGACUCUGUUUAAGGUAAGUUUCUUUGGGGUCUGAGUUAAAAUCAUACUCACACAAAAUACAUUUGUGUAUGAAUCAGUUGAGAAAAGGUGGUAAACACAGGCAACCAACACCUAACCUUGCACAUUCUACAGGAGUGCAGCAUUCUGUACUUCAAACUUUGUGGAGUAUAUAGAAUAUAGCUUUCUGAACAGGAGAACUGACCAUAUAUCAUUAGCAGUAGCCAUAGGACUAAUUAAAGAUUAAAAACUGAAUAAUAAAACUCUAAAUAGGACAAAAAGUAUCUUGGAAAAUUGUGCCAGGUAAUUACCAGAACCUAUUUUUAAAAUGCGUCCUCAAUUCAGAAAAUUUAUACAUUUCCCUCCUUGUGUUUCAUUAAGUAUUCUUGUUUUCUCAAAAGUGCACUUUAAGCCAAAUUUGUUUGCAUUUAUCUAUGUAUUUGUUUGUGUGCACAUGUGUGUGCCUGG
ensembl:lncRNA